CCUACGGGGUGCAGCAGUGAGGAAUAUUGGUCAAUGGACGAGAGUCUGAACCAGCCAAGUAGCGUGAAGGAUGACUGCCCUAUGGGUUGUAAACUUCUUUUAUAAAGGAAUAAAACGAGGCACGUGUGCCUUUUUGCAUGUACUUUAUGAAUAAGGAUCGGCUAACUCCGUGCCAGCAGCCGCGGUAAUACGGAGGAUCCGAGCGUUAUCCGGAUUUAUUGGGUUUAAAGGGAGCGUAGAUGGGUUGUUAAGUCAGUUGUGAAAGUUUGCGGCUCAACCGUAAAAUUGCAAUUGAUACUGGCAGUCGUGAGUACAGUUGAGGUAGGCGGAAUUCGUUGUGUAGCGGUGAAAUGCUUAGAUAUCACGAAGAACCCCGAUUGCGAAGGCAGCUUACUAAACUGUGACUGACAUUGAUGCUCGAAAGUGUGGGUAUCAAACAGGAUUAGAGACCCCUGUAGUC
rnacentral:rRNA from 1 species